UCUCUCCCAGAAAGAAUGACAAGGCCUGAAAGGAGGAACGGUAUGUGCCGGUCUCCGUCGUGUUAAGAGGGAGGCGGGGCGUGCAGCGGGGCUACCAUAGCGGGGCGCCGGACCCCGCACCUCUCGCGUUUUCUUUUUUUUCUUUGUCACAGCGCUGGGGAGGGGAGCAAGCUCCAUGCGUCAGUUCCCGCCAAAUUGUAGCUCUUUCGAGCGAGGACGUGCGUUGCUGAAACACUGCACAGAGACGGGCAAGCACUCAGAGGCAUUUCGUUUGCCUUGAUCCUGGAGGCGGCCUUCUCCCAUUGCCGAGGAUUUGAAGCGAACUCCUGGCAGAUCAGAAAUGUUCAGGCGAACGGCGGUUAUAUUUGUCCGUGGACCCAAAACUUCGUUGACGGGCAAAUAUGUCAGAUUUUCUUGUUUUUUAUUUGUGGCAUCUUAUUGUAAGACCGUGACAUAUUUUGCCGUUUUCUCUAGGGAACCCUGCAACAAGGACUGUAGUGUGAAUAGCGUGCUGCGCUGCUCUCGCCAACUGAAAAGAACUCUGGUAAGAUGCAUGCUUGGUUACGAAAGUCUCACGCAAUCGCUUUUCACAUUGAAUUUGGUCGCAGGUGUGCUGUAAAUGCCGACUGCACAAUAUGUGACUGGCCCGCGGCUGCUUUGAAGGUAAGAUUGUGUUCUCAUUAAUCUAUUUAUUGUAUCAUUUGUUUUCCAGUGACAUAGCCAACAACGAAAACCUCGAUCCAUCCUCUCUCCACAUAUUAUCUAGUCUGUGCGCUGUGGAGCUUGAAGCACUUCUCGGAAUUUCAGCACACUCGCAUUUAUUUUUUUCCCGACAGAAGAAAAAUGCAAGUCUAACAUCUCGACGGUAAAACGUCGCAUCUGCGCACAGGGCCAAGAGCACGAGAAGUGGCCGAAAGAAGGGAGCCGAUCCAACAGGAAUGCCGUCCGUCUUUAUAUUUAUAUAUGUCAGCGUUAUCAUGCCGUGAUCACAUGGACUGUACGAUUGCGUUGCACAAGGGCUGAUGCAAACGCUCCGUGCGAACAAUGUUGCAUGGAAAAUUAGUGCAUCUAUACAAUUGCAAAAUAAAGAUCUAAAGAGAGAAAACUUAUAUUCACGUCUUUCUUUUAUUGCGUGUUACGUAUUAACACGUUAACAAGUGCAGACCGUUAGAGGCGUUUAAUUCCGUCUUACAUGUGCACUCUGCCCGUAAUUAAUUCAGAUAGAGUUAAACGCCUCUAUAAA